CAAAGAAAAUCAUAUAAGUCUCAUACAAUUAAUAUAGAACCUAUAUCCUAAUGUCACAUCCUAUCAGAGCGUGGUGUUCCCGUGUCCUCUAGCAUGAGGUUCUUCUUAGUCAUCCACCUAUUCAUCUGCUCCCCCGAACACAAGUUCAAGAUCAUCACAGGAUCCAAACACAACAACACACAGGGAGUGAGUUAUCACAUUCCUAGCUAAUAGAGAAACAAGAUAAUUAAAUAUACAUAUUAUAUAAAUGAGAUACCACUUGCUUAAACAUAGCUCACGUAACUUCACUAUUUCAUCAUUCAAAAUUCACUUUUCAAUUAUCAAUCACAUUACACAAGAAUCCCACACUUCGAUCAAGAUAUAAUAACACAUCAAUUAGCAAGCAUAUGCAAUAGUUAUGCUAAGACUCAAUCCUAUAUGCAAUGUGGUACCAUGUCAGUGAAAAACCACCCUGGGGCGCUUAGGAGUACAUAACAAGACACACCACACAAUGGGUUUGUCAGGUCACUCUCACUAAGUAAGAUCAUAGGGAGACCAGUCAGGGUCACGAUGUUUUUGCGAGAAUGCUCCAACCAUAUGAGAUCAGCAUAGGCUUAAAGGAGCACUCAAACCCGGUGACCCCCAAGGCCUACACUCCGAAGAGUCCGUCAGGGCCUCUCCCUCCUGAUUCAGGUCCAACCCCUAAAAUAAUUUUUUACAUGCAGACACUGCUCAUGAAUUAUACAAUACCCACGACCUUACACUCGUGUUUUAAACACGUUCAACACAAUCGCACUAUGAUUUAACACUGGCUCCUAAAUAGGAAACCUACAUUUUCUCUAUAACACUGCGCAUCAACGCUUUUCUCAAGAUAACACUGGUCGGGUUAUUGUACAAUUCAUAGCUUACAACACAAGUAAUUUCACAUCAAGUGUUAACUACACACUUAUCCACAACUAGAACUCAUUCACAAUUUCACUUCUCAUAGUGUGACAAUCCACUAUCACAUGUUUACACGUAUCUCACAAAUUAACACAUGUUAAACUUUACACUUAUACUCAAUCUCAAUAACAAUAUUAUAAUCUCAAAGCAACAUAUUCUUCUACAAUUCAUCACAUACUCACAAUUUGAAUCAUCAUUUCAUAUCCUCAAUAUAACAAUUUAUAUAAAACACUAUCACAACAUUAGGACUAAAACCCCUUAACUAAUAUUACACAAUUAUAUCAAAAUCAUAGGUCAAAAUAUACAAAUAUCAAGAACACAAUUUAUCAAGCAAUUUUCAUUAGGACAUCAAUAUUUUAUUUAUAAUCAUAAAGGAAAAAUUGCAAUUUAAUAAACAUCUCAAAAUAAAACCCCAAUUUAAUCCUCUAAGGAUCCCUACACAUGUUCUCACUAAUCCCCAACUGUGAAUAACUCAUCCCUUACCUCUGAGCGGACUCACGUGUCUUCAGCCAGGGAUAGCAACAUCUUUAGCGGUUCCCUGAAAUUCUUUCAGUUAUUCCUCCGACUGCUCCGAUAGAAUUCCCAAACGUCAGAGAGACGGAGAAGAGAUUGAAACCUCCACUUAUACUGUCUUCAUGCGAUUCCUUUUUCUCCCUCCAC
rnacentral:lncRNA from 1 species